CCUACGGGAGGCAGCAGUGGGGAAUAUUGCACAAUGGGGGAAACCCUGAUGCAGCGACGCCGCGUGAGUGAAGAAGUAUUUCGGGAUGUAAAGCUCUAUCAGCAGGGAAGAAAAUGACGGUACCUGAUUAAGAAGCCCCGGCUAACUACGUUCCAGCAGCCGCGGUAAUACGUAGGGGGCCAGCGUUAUCCGGAUUUACUGGGUGUAAAGGGAGCGUAGACGGCAGCAAAAGUCAGGAGUGAAAUGCUGGGGCUUAACCCCGGAACUGCUUUGGAAACUGUGCAGCUAGAGUGCAGGAGAGGUAAGUGGAAUUCGUGGUGUAGCGGUGAAAUGCUUAGAUAUUAGGAAGAACUCCAGUGGCGAAGGCAGCUUACUGGACUGUAACUGACGUUGAGGCUCGAAAGCGUGGGGAGCAAACAGGAUUAGAUACCCGGGUAGUC
rnacentral:rRNA from 1 species